rnacentral:snRNA from 1 species
CGCCUUUCUUCACUCCCCU